rnacentral:rRNA from 1 species
GAUGAACGCUGGCGGCGUGCUUAAUACAUGCAAGUCGAGCGAACAGACGAGGAGCUUGCUCCUCUGACGUUAGCGGCGGACGGGUGAGUAACACGAGUAUAACCUACCUGUAAUACUGGUAUAACUUCGGGAAACCGGAUCUAAUACCGUAUAAUAUAUUGAACCGCAUGGUUCAAUAGUGAGAUACGGCGUUGCUGUCACGUCUAGAUGGAUCCGCGCCGCAUUAGCUAGUUGGUAAGGUAACGGCUUACCAAGGCAACGAUGCGUAGCCGACGUGAGAGGGUGAUCGCCCACACUGGAACUGAGACACGGACCAGGCUACUGCGAGACGCACCAGAAGGGAACCUGCGGCAACGGUCGAAAGCAUGACGGAACAACGGCGAGCCAGAGAUGAAGAUCUCGGGAUCGUAAUACUCUGUUAUUAGGGAAGAACAAAUGUGUAAGUAAAUAUGGACGUAUUGACGGUAAUGAAUAAGAAAGCCACGGCUAACUACGUG